GACGAACGCUGGCGGCGUGCUUAACACAUGCAAGUCGAACGGAAAGUCCCUGCUUUUGUGGGCUGCUCGAGUGGCGAACGGGUGAGUAACACGUGAGUAACCUGCCCUUGACUUUGGGAUAACUUCAUGAAACUGGGGCUAAUACCGGCUAGGAGCUCCUGCUGCAUGGUGGGGGUUGGAAAGUUUCGGCGGUUGGGGAUGGACUCGCGGCUUAUCAGCUUGUUGGUGGGGUAGUGGCUUACCAAGGCUUUGACGGGUAGCCGGCCUGAGCGGGUGACCGGACACAUUGGGAAUGAGAUACGGCACAGACUCGUACGGGAGGGAGGAGAGGGGAAUAGUGCACAAUGGGCGGAACCAUGAUGUAGCAACGCCGCGUGCGGGAUGACGGCCUUCGGGUUGUAUUCCGCUUUCGCCUGUGACGAAGCGUGAGUGACGGUAAUGGGUAAAGAAGCACCGGCUAACUACGUG
rnacentral:rRNA from 1 species